rnacentral:lncRNA from 1 species
UGCUGCAGCUGCUGGCCUACGCCACAGCCAAAGCAAUACCGAAUCUGAGACGCAUCUGUGUACUCUGCACCAGCUUGAGGCAGCACCAGAUCCUUAACCCACUGAGCGAGGCCAGGGAUCAAAUCUGCAUUCUUAUGAAUACUAGCCAGGUUCUCAACCGGCUGAGCCACAGCGGGAACUCCCAAAACAUAUUUAUUGAAUUACGUUUGGAGCCUCACAUCCUUUCUCCCUGCCUUCUGGGACCCCAGUGAUCGAGUGUUGUAGCUCCUGUUGAUGCUCCACCAGUCUAUGAGGCUCUGUUUUAUUUUUCAGGCUGUUUUCCUCCUGUUCAGAGUGAGUAAAUUUAUUGGUCUUUCUUCGAGGCUACUGAUUCUGCCCUUUGUCAUCUCCAGCCACGAGAGUUGAUCCAGCAAAGUUUUUAAUUUGGUUCGUGUACUUUUCGGUUCUAUAAUGUUUACCUUCUAGAAAAUGAAGCCCCCCGGCCGCAGCCAGACAGCCUUCUCCUUUGGAGCUCUCAGCGCCCUUGUCUGGGUGUCUGCUGGAUUACGUCCAGGGAGGAGGAGCUGGGAGGGGAGGCUAUGCCAUCCAUCCUGUUCUGGAACUAGAAGUCCAGCUCCAGGAGGUUUGACCACCACCGUAUUUCCUCUCUAAAACCAGGAGCCAUGAUGACUCCUAGGUGGUAGCUUGGCAGAUGGCAGCCACAUAAGUGGCACUGGGGCUUUCAGCUGCCGAAGGUUCUGAUCAUGGUGAGGGGUGGAGAGAAGGCAGGCAGAGAGGAGCUGGGGGAGGGAUGCGAGGAAGCGGUCCAGGGCAUCCUGCAGCUGCCCAGCCCGCUGUAGCCCCGGCCCCAUCGGUUCCCCGACUGGCGGGGCCCAGAGUGCAACACAGCAGGGCAAGUGCAGCUGGUGGGGGAGGCGGAGACAGAGGAUGAGGAAGAGGGAGGCGGAGAGAGGGAGAGGAGGCCAGGCCUCGGCAUCCAGCCGGUGCUUCCUCAUGGACCCGGGCCGACACUCCUCUCUGGAGGCUCCAUGGCCCCCCUUCUCACUUGCCAGAGCUGGGCAUGGGGCCAGGAGGAGCGCCUGGGGGGGAGGGUCCCCAGGUGCUGCAGGAGGAGGCCACUUUUCUCAGCGCUUCCAGUCCCAGGGAUAAAAAUACCAGCUUGCAAAAUCAGCUGCUAAUCUUGUUGCUAGGUAGAGUUCAAGCCCAGAAUUGCCAUUUUGUGCUAAGUUUGGCAGAACAGCUUUUACUGGGAAUUAGACUCUCAACCCAGGCUCAGGUCUUGGAGGAGGCACAAGGAGACAGGCGCUUUGCUCAUAGCCUUGCGAGGGGACAGACAGGGUGCAUGUCCCACCCCAGCUGUCGCGGGGCAGUGGACCCGUGGUAGAUGUCCCCACUUCACUGCGAGUCUGCUCAGGGGGAGCCCAUGGGACCUGGGUCCUCCCACUGGGGAGAGGCUGGGGACAGGGGGACACCGCAGUGAGCCCCUUUGGGGGCCAUGUGUCCCAAGCAGAGGUCCCAAGACCAGAGAGACAAGGCAGACAGGUGGCCUGGACACCAGUGAGGGAACCUUCCACGGGAAAGCGCUCCCGCCCCAACCUGGCGCCGUGGUCUCCGCGCAGGGUCUGACCCUCCUUGAGACGGUCAGGGUCGGGGGAGCAGGGAGGGAGCACGAGGUGCUGCCUGCAACCCAGCCCAUCCAGCUGGGGAGGUGGGACGGAGCGCCCUGGAGGGCAGGGGAGGGGUUAGCCGCCAGGUAGAAGGGACGAGGCUGAGAUGCUCCACACAGAAGGGCCUGGAACUGCUGACGUGGCCACAGCAAAAGGAGGCAUCUUAAUGACUGUAAUUAAAAUGUCAAGGCCGGUCUAUGGCAGCCAGGUGGUUGUGAAUCCCGGUGAAGGGCUGCAGGUGCCUGAGACGGGGGACGGGGCCAGCCAGGCCCCUCGGCCUCUGGGGCCAGGACAGGGGGGCCGAGCCUUCCUGGGAGCUCACCCUCCAGCCCUUCUCCUUCCUGGCCAGGCAGACCUCACAGGGAGGUUGUACGACCACCUCCUGGAGCCUGCUUCGCACCCAGGUCUCUGCCCUGGUGGGAAGCAGGAAGGCAGAGACGGCUUGGGGCCCCAGAGGCCUGGUGGCGGCAGCCGGAGCUGCCCAGACGGAGGCCCCCUGGGCUCCAAACAGCACUGGCACCAACCAGACUGGCUUCGGCGCUCUGCUCCCAGCCUGGAGCUUCAGUUGUACUGAAGCGGCUGACGGUGUCCCCCCGGGACCUGCACAGUCUGCCAGCCACAGUCCCCACCCGUGCCCACCGCUCUCUUCGGCCCUGGUUGUCAGCAGCCUCUGCCCAGGAAGGCUGUGCCAGAGAAGCCUCUCCAGGGCCGCUGCCAGCUGUGCUGUGGGAGGAUGCUGACGCCCCAUCCCUUCCACUGCAGGAUGGUGGCCCUUCAUGUCCGAGAAUUUCCCAUCCCCGCCACCACAAAGCUUCCACAAAAAGGCCUCGUGCAACUGGCUAGUGCAAUCUGGGCUUAAAUGCUCAAAUCCCAGUUGGAACCCAAGCUGGGCUGGUCAGCAAAGAGCCCACACCCAGCCCCAGGCUGGCCCGGUGGCAGGAGGACCCUCACACAACUGUCCCUGAGGUCAUGGCAGGGGACAAGGCGGAGGCCCAGCCUUUCCCUCCACAGGGGGGACUUGGGGCAGGGCUGGGUCUUGGCCUCACCCUGGGGUCCACUGGGACCAUCAGCGUCCUGCUUUUCCUUCUGUGCUUCGUCUACUCCAGGGAGAGAGAUGUGCACCGGAUCUGCCGUCUGUGGCCUCUUUCCAUCUCGUGGCUGAUAAAAGGGAUGAGAAGCCCACAACAGCUGCAUUUGGGGUUGGGACCAAAGUGGAGAAAAGCCGAUGAGAGUGGACCCUUUAUUACCUCAAAUGUGACUCUUGAGAGAGACUCCUGGGUAUUUGAUUUAAAACAGCCCUGGCAGGGCAGAAGUCUGGCUGGCGGCCACCAGAGGCCACAGGAGGGCAGCAUGUUUGCUCUUCUAGAAGCAGGAGGCGGGGCUGCCAGGCCUGUCCCCCUCCUACGGGCCACCAGCUGUUCUUUUUGUUUGUUUUAAUAACAGCUUUAUUGAGGUAUAAUUCACAUAGCAUAAAAUUCACCCUUUUAAAGUGUACAAUUCAGUGGUUGUUAAUGUAUUCACUGAAUUAUGCAACCGUCACCACUAUCCAAAUUUAGAAUAUUGUCAUCACC